rnacentral:misc_RNA from 1 species
GUUUGAACUCGUCCACUUUCAAGUUCAGGAAGGAUGAUAAUAUGGGUUCCCAAGGCCAGGGAAGCGAUUAUGAAUGUGCUGUUUGCUUGUCGGUUUUUGAAGAGGGAGAGGAGAUCAGGCAAUUGCCCGGAUGCAACCACUCCUUUCAUGCUCCUUGUAUAGACAUGUGGCUGUUUUCUCACUCUGAUUGCCCACUUUGUCGUGCCCGAGUUGUCGCUGCUCCACCUCCCUUCUGCCGGCGACAUCAUGAGGAAGCUACGCCUGAUAACUCUCAAG